GUUCAUUGCAGGCAGUGAGGAUGAAACAGGAUCUGAAACGAUAAGAGAAUUACUGACAAGUCACCUGAUGGUGGGAGCUGGUCCACCUGCUGGGAGCUGCAGCUGAACCAUAAAGCCACGGACAGUGACACCUUGUUCUGUUUGAGGACUCGGUGACACAUGUAAUUCACAGCUGUGCACAGCAGCCAACAACUACGGCUGUGUUCAUUUUUGCUUCAGUGACCAUGGCAGCCUGCCCCUGCUGUCCCCGGGCAGUGCUGCACAGAGUCAACAGACUGUCAAGCCAUCAGCUGGAUGCCCAAUCUCAUUUCACAUGCAAAGAGAAGGAGACAGUCUGUUCAAAAGUGAAUGUCCUCCACGUGCCCAUAAGCAGGCCUGUUGUGAGAGUAAUCAGCUGAAUGUUUAAUGAAGACACUCUGACAUAAUUGCCUUCCAGUGAUGUGUGGAUGUUAGUGCAAUGUAAAGUGAGCAGCUCUGUAGCGUCAGAAUGAACAUGCACUUAUUUACUUCUUCUUGAGAAGCGAUGUGGCGGUGCCAGUAGAUGACAUGCCUAAUGCGGUUCACUGGCAUGAGAUCAUUCUGUCAACAGGGCCCUGAAGCAUCCUCGAGGGUCAAGCUGAAAUGUUCUUCCACACAAACCCGUUCCUCCUUUCUCAUUUAUCAGCUAUGUUUCAAAAGACCAAACAAAAUUAAACUACUGACGACCUGUGCCUUCUUUCCUGUGUCAGGGGCGGUGUGGUAGAGAUUAUGAUUUUCUAAUAAUCCUAACAUAUUUAAUUACAAGUAAUUUGUUUCUACAAUAUAUAUGCACAUGGUUAGAGAAUUAAAACAAUUUCAAAGCAUUAAUAAGUGUUGUGUUGUUUGAAGCUGUCAGGUUGACAUGCUGUUGGAUUCACAAAACUAUGGGAGCAAAUAAGAAACAAAAGCAGUUGAAUUUUAACAACCACUUAACCACUACUUAAAGAUUCUCAAUUCGAUUUUCAGAGCAUUAAUGUAGCAGCAAACAACUAUUUGCUAUGUGAAGAUACAGUGGAGUAAUGUCUAUAUGAGCAGAGAACGCUCUGGGUGUGUUGUAAAACGAGCUUCUCUGUGCUUUCUCAACAAAGCCGGUCAACCGCACGUGCACAUUAGUAUGUCCCACUGGCUGUAUGUAUAACUCUGCACUGCGCUCAUACGCUGUUACAGCUGGUAACGCCGUCUAGGGACACGGAAGCGUAACGGCCACCCUCCGGUUCCCCCCUAGUUAGCUCUGUCAACACUGUUGCUGUUGUUUGCACUGUUUUCGCUGUUAGCAUUGUUAGCAGUUAGCACCGUUAGCAGCUUUAGCUGAGAGCCAUGUUGAGACAAUCCCUCUGCUCUGACUUAAGAAUUGAAAACCUUUAAUAUUGAAUUUUUUUAAACAACGUUAAUUUUAUAGCAUUGAAAGCAUUUAUUUGUUCUGAAUUCACCUAUUUGAAAUGGAAAUAGGACAUUUAUUGAUUUGCAAUUUCAAAAGCUGAAUUUGAACAUA